AAUGAGGAAAAAGAUUAAAAAGAGGAAGAUUCUCAAAACAAUGCUUAGGUGUGGUGAAAAAAUCCUCUUAAUCCACCUGCAAUUUCAGGUAUUUCAUCAGUAAUACCUAAGUAAACUAAAAACUACAAGCUGAUGCCUGCAGUCACACUGUAUGAAGUUUGUGUCACUCCUCCCCUACAACCUACAACUCAGCUCCCAUUUGCUGGCUACUUUCAUCAGCACGUAAAAGACUGAACCAGAGUACAGUAUUACAUACACUGCUGCAGAUCACAAGGCAAAGGAAAUUACAAUCAAAAUCCAAGAAACCGAAGAAUGGAUCCCAGCCAGUUUUCCAAUCAGCCUCCAGAAGCCUACAAUUCAUCUGAGAAAUCAGGGAUGCCUACAGCAGCACCACCAGCAUACCAGCACAAUCCUGCUGGAUAUCCUCCUUCCUUUCCAAACCAGCCGGUCCCCCAGGGCCCCUACACCCAGGGACCAUAUCCAGGACAGCCUGUGGUCACUGUGCAGCCUGCAGUUUUUGUGACUGCUGCUCCACUGGCUGAUCCAGUGCCAGAUUACCUGGGUUACUCCAUCUUCACCAUGCUGUGCUGCUGCUUACCUCUGGGCAUCGCUGCGCUGAUUUACUCCAUCUCUACUCGAGAUGCCUACUACUCAGGACAGCGAGAAUUAGCAGAGAAGAACUCCAAAAUGGCACGUACCCUAAAUCACAUCGGCCUUGGUAUUGGCCUUGUUUUCAUUGUAUUGGUCAUUAUCACCCAGAUUGUGAUUUGGACUACUAGAUAAAAGCUGUUAGAACUGACAUGGUUGGAUGCAGAUUGCAAACAGAUUUGUUUUUCUGUAUUUUAAAUGUUACUAGCACAAUUUAUCAGUACUCUAAUAUGCGUUAAGGCCUAUUGUUGUAUGUUUAAACCAAUGAAGGCUACCACACAGUUGUCUUUAGGCUACUUCUGUAAUGUGUUGUUCAGACUUUUUGCUUAUGUUACAUAUCUUCUGUGCUGCUGUGCUAAUUUUAUAUACAGAAAUAAAACAUAGCAUAUAUGUGUACUUUUUUAGGUACAUAUGUACAUAAAUCUGUAUGUCUGUCUAUCUAUCUUUUUUGUUGUUAUUUAAAAACCACAUUUAUCAUGCAGGAAGUGGUGCGUCUGGCAGUUAAUCUGAGAGGAUUGUACAACCCACGUAUAUAUAAUCAGUGACCACGACGCACGCAAACAAGGCACAGCGCAUGCGUAUUCUACAUCUGAGUCAGCAGCAUCACACGCCUCGUGGAACUCGCGUGAACGGCAGCAGAGGCAGACUGGACGAAAAGAAUUUGUUGAAUAAAGUCAUUAUUUUUGUUUUGUUUGUGCACCAAAAGGAUAUAUUCUCGUAGAUUCGUAAAAUUACGGUUGAUCCACUGAUGUCACAUGGACUAUUUUAACGAUGUCCUUUUUCGGGACCUUGAACGUGGUAGUUCAUUUUUUUAAACGAUUUUUAUUAUACUAACACAGAUGCUGUUAUAUUAAAACAACAAUUAAACCAUCCAUGUUUUAAUACAAGUAAUCACUCUCCUCAGAUUUAAGGAUUCAUACAUGAUGAAUGCGCAACUGCAGUAACCCACAGCUGCCAAAUCUCUGAACUAUGGAAGCAUAUGGGUAGCAUUAUUCAAUUUGGGAUGUAAUAUGCAAAAUGACAAUGUAAUAUGUAAAAUGGCAAUGCAUUUCUACAUUUACA
ensembl:lncRNA